rnacentral:rRNA from 1 species
AUACGUAGGGUGCAAGCGUUAAUCGGAAUUACUGGGCGUAAAGCGUGCGCAGGCGGUUUUGUAAGACAGAGGUGAAAUCCCCGGGCUCAACCUGGGAACUGGCUUUGUGACUGCAAGGCUAGAGGACGGCAGAGGGGGAUGGAAUUCAGGGUGUAGCAGUGAAAUGCGUAGAUAUGCGGAGGAACACCGAUGGCGAAGGCAAUCCCCUGGGCCUGUACUGACGCUCAUGCACGAAAGCGUGGGGAGCAAACAGGAUUAGAUACCCUGGUAGUCCACGCCCUAAACGAUGUCAACUGGUUGUUGGGUCUUCAUUGACUCAGUAACGAAGCUAACGCGCGAAGUUGACCGCCUGGGGAGUACGGCCGCAAGGUUGAAACUUAAAGGAAUUGGCGGGG